UACGUAGGUGGCGAGCGUUGUCCGGAAUUAUUGGGCGUAAAGAGCUCGUAGGCGGUGUGUCACGUCGGCCGUGAAAACCUGCAGCUUAACUGUGGGCGUGCGGUCGAUACGGGCAUCACUGGAGUUCGGCAGGGGAGACUGGAAUUCCUGGUGUAGCGGUGAAAUGCGCAGAUAUCAGGAGGAACACCGGUGGCGAAGGCGGUGGUCUGGGCCGGCACUGACGCUGAGGAGCGAAAGCGUGGGGAGCAAACAGG
rnacentral:rRNA from 1 species